AACAAACCCAAGCCAUGGAUGCUAUAAUUAGCAGGAUGUAGUAAUUUUUCUUCGAGCAUAAUUGGAAGGUUUGCCAUUUAGGGAUAGUACUUAAACUCUCCUAUUUUAUGGCUCAUUUGCCAGAAAAUGCCUGUGAAGCUAACAGCUUUAUCAAACCUUAUCAAUGGGUAAGGAGUGUCAAAGGAGGGUGUUUGUGCUAUGUGGUGUUAAACAUGGUGCUGCUGCUGUUUGGUCUUAUCAUUUUACUAACUUCUGUUAAUUGAAUAGUCUUCCAUGGUUGUUUGGUGAUAACAAGCUACUAAAGCAUGUCUGAAAACCUGUGCAAAGACCCAUUGCAGGGCCUGAGGAUUUCCAUCUCUUCCUGCUGGGGCUGAUUUGGGGCUGGGGUAGUUUUGGGGGGAUGCCCUGGGUGGCUGAUCACCUCCCUCGACCACCCUCAGAGCUCUGCUCAGCACCAGGAGGGGGCUCAGCCCCAGCCCCAGCUGGAGCAAACCCAGUAAGGUGCCCAGGCUGGGUAAUCCUCAUUAGCUGUUAAGCUAAUUAGCAGUUCUCCCUUUCUAAGGAGCUCAAAUUGAACAUUCCUGAUGAAUAUUGGUGGUGAAAGCUCUUCCUCUUUCUGAGGGCAUAAAGGCACCUUUACCACGUUUUUGCUCCCUACUGAGCCUGAAGGCAGGAGGGCAGGGGUGGUGGGGGGCAGCUGAAAACCAGCCCUGAGCUUGCAAUGGGUGCAGUCGUGCUCCUGGGUCUUCUUGAGCAUCGUGGCCUUGAUGAAAAGCGCUUGACAAAUGACUGUAGGAAGGAGCCGAGCCUGAAGACCCGGGCACAGAUGUGUUGGGAUUUACACUGCUCAGCUCCUGUCUGCCUCGCCAGAAGAAAGUCCCCACCAGGCUGGCCCGAUCCAGGCUCUGGGCCAUCUCCUAAAUCAGGCUAUAUGUCUUGGAGAAGAUCAGAAGGGGGGAUGCUCCAGGGCAAGAUGGCAUUGUGCUGUUGGGAGCAGUAAGGCAUGAAGUCUGGGAUUGCCUCCAGGCUUGGGAGCCCACAGAUGUUGGAAAUGGGCUGAGCCUGUGGGAUGGGUACCUGUGUUGCAAGAAACUCUGUGGGUGUUGGUGGUAACAGGGGUGAUGGUGCUAGGAGGGGAAGGGAAGGGAAGGUUGAAUUAAUCUCAUGUAGAAGGCCUAAUGAGGAGACAGGCUGUGCUUACUGAUGGUUUUCUGGGGUAGUCUUCCUUCAUCCUGAGUGUUAGUGCCCUGAGGACUUCCAAUCCAGGAGAAAAAAGUAAGGAGAUGGUGGAUGGACCACUCCUGUCCAACUUUGCACUAAAUGUCUUGUGUGCUGGAAACAUGAAAAGCCUCAAAGUUUCUCUAGAGAUGUGUUCAGAAGACGUUUCUGGGAGAGGACUCUCUCCAGUGAUGUAACAAGCUGCAGUUUGCUUCAAACUUUAAGUAUUAUAAAUGUGGCUGAUGUAAUUCUAUUUCAAAAAGCCUUAGAGGCUUGCAAUAAUAAACAGAGCCUUUUAGUACCA
rnacentral:lncRNA from 1 species